GCCUACAACUCCCAGCAGGCGCUGCGAUGCCCUCAGCGACUGGGUGCGCUUCCUUCUCAAUACGAGGAGCGUACAUUAUUUUUUACCUCAAUAGCCGCAAAGGAAGAGAAAAGGGAAGAUAUUUUAAGGAGGACUGGGAGAAGAAGUUGGUUGCAGUUUCUUUUUCGCCCUAAUUGUAUUGCGUGUUCUGUAAUCGUCUGUCCAAAUUUGCAAAGCAUUUGCCGCUGGUGUGCUGGUGUCGGUGUCUAAUACAAUCAGACCUCCUGGAACAGAACUAUAUGACCUGGUUCGAUCCGUUAAUCCAGAGAUAGAAGCAGCUUCACAAUGAGACACCUCUGGAUAAUCAUGUUGGUGGUCAUUCUGUUCAUAUUCUGUCAAGCAGGUACUCUUCAUAACGGAAGACACCAGAAGAACAUGUCCAAGACUCAAGGUAUUCAGCCUGAAGAAGCUGUUCUCUCCUGGUUACUGCCAGCUGGAGUUGGAUGUGUAGUGGGCUUAAUUAUUGCAGUGUUUUUCCUUUUGGUUAUCCUGUGCUGCUUAAGGAGAAAACCAUCCUGUAUUAGGAGCCUGCGUGGUAGGGGGAAAACCAAGCAUGAUGUGGAGGCAUGUGAGGAUCCCAGUGAGUACUGACAUGAUCACAUUUCUGUAUGACUACUUGGAUUUUCCUGAUUGUAGAUAUUAGGCUUUUUUGCAUUUGCAUUUAAAGCAGCAGUCUGCUAUUUUAUCUUGUGAGUGCUCCUGUCCCGAAACUGUGUACCCAGGAGCCUCUUUUACUGUUGAACCUGAACAGCUUAUUUUAGUGAUUGUGAUAUUAUAGUGAUCACAAGAACUGAAUCCCUUCAUACACCUUGUGAAAGAUUUAGCAGAUUCAGCUCGUUUCACCUGUGUAGAUGGAGGUACAAUACACUACUAAAGGAACAACUGGGUAUACUAUUACUAAAUAUUCAUCUGGGGUUUUUCUUCGUAUGCCUGUUACAUUGCUGAGCUUCAGAUACAGGGGUGGGGUUGAUUUAAUUUAAAAUAUAAAACAGAUCUGAACAAUUGGCCCGUCCUUGGACACUCUUUGUACCAACUAAAGAGUGUAAGCACCUUUCACGGUCUAGAUGUGACAUCUGAGUUGCAGUUUUUAUCAAGUGAAAAUAUAGGGAUAAUAUAACCAGUUCUUAUUCUUAUCUUUAGAACUAAGGGUGGAAAUCUACAUGAGUCUUCUCAUUUAUGGAAGACUCAAUUAUAAAGUUCCAGGAAGACAGCCAUUUUGGAUCUUACUUUCAUCAUGUGUAGAUAUGAGCCCAAAUGGCUUCUGACCUCCCAAUAACUCAACCCAGGUGUGGGCAGUUAAAACCAAAAUCACUCCCUGUGAAACAAUUCAGGGAGAGAACAAGUGGGAAGAAUAUAGUGAUCAAAGUUUAUGAAGCAUGACCUGAAAGUUACAUUAAUCAAACUGUAAAACUGUAUUUUGUGGGGAAAGUAGAAAGUGAGGAGCCUGCAUAAUACUAGGUAGAUCUCCAAACUGUGAUGGGAUUUGUUUUCUUUCCUUUGCUUUGCUGUGCAACCCUUCAUAAUUACUUCCUCUUUAUUUAAAUCUUUAAAUAUUUAAUAUUAAUAUUAAUAUUAAUAUAACCAAGACCACGAUCAGUCAGACUGUGUUGUACUUUGCUGUUCAUGCUUGUUGUUUGUAUUUAUAGAGAAGCCUGAAGAAGAGAAUGAGAAGUUGUGGAAUGACAAAGGUACAGGACUGUUUGUGGUUCUGUUUAAUAGUUCUACAUACAGUUAUAGUUGAAACAGCCAUCAGUCAGACUGUAUUGUACUCUGCUGUUCACUCUUAUUCACUCUCUAUUUUUUGCUUUUGUAGAGAAGCUUGAAGAAGAGAAUGAGAAGCUGCAGAAUGACAAAGGUACAGGACUGUUUGUGGUUUUGUUUGAUAGUUCUUCAGUACAGUUAUAGCUGUGUCAGCCAUCAGUCAGACUGUACUGUACUGUACUGUACUGUUUACUCUUGUUGUUUGUAUUUAUAGAGAAGCUUGAAGAACAGAAUAAGAAGCUGUGGAAUGACAAAGGUACAGGACUGUUUGUGGUUCUGUUUAAUAGUUCUACAUACAGUUAUAGCUGUGACAGCCAUCAGUCAGACUGUAUUGUACUGUACUGUUAACGCUUGUUGUUUGUGUUUGUAGUGAAGCUUGAAGAAGAGAAUACGAAGCUGCAGAAUGACAGAGGUAGAGGACUGUUUGUGGUUCUGUUUAAUAGUUCUACCCUACAGAUACAGAAUACAGUGGCUAUCAAAAGUAUUCACCCCACUUGGACUUUUUCCAUAUUUAACUGUGUUACAAUAUAGAAUCACAAAGUAUUAAUUUGAGCUUUUUUUGCAAUUGAUAUUGAUCAAAACAAAACAGUCUAUAAUGUCAGUGGAAACAUAAAUCUACAGACCUUCAUAAAUUCAUUAUAAAUAUAGAACACACAAUAGGUGCAUAAUAUGCAUAAGUAUUCACCCCCUUUACAAAGACACACCUUAAUAGGCUCUUGUCUUUACAAGUCACAUAGGUUAUUGAAUGGAGUCCAGUUGAUUAGUACAAAACAACAUCAUGAAGACAAAUUUUCAGAGUAAAUCUGGAAUAAGGUUAUCGAAAAGACGAAAAACACCAGUCUGGGGAAAGGUUUAAGAAAAUUUCUAAGGCAUUACAUAUCCCCAAAACACAGUUAAAUCCAUUAUAAAGAAGUGUAGAAAAUAUGGCUCAACUGUGAAACUGUGAAGAACAGGAUGUCCUCAAAAUCUGAGUUUAAGGAGAGAAGAGCACUAGUCAGGGAGGCCACCAAGAGGCCGGUGACAACUCUAUAGGAAUAACAGUCUUCCAUGGCAGAGAUGGGAGAAACCAUGCACAUGACAUUUGCCUGAGUGCUUCACAAAUUUGAGCUUCAUGGGAAAGUGACAACAAAUUCACAUCAGAUCUUGACUACAAUUUGCCAGAAGGCAUGUGGGAGACUCUGAGACCAAAUGGAAGACAGAUUUUUAGUCUGCAAGUACAAAUUAUGUACAAAUUCUGGGAGAAUAGCACUUGUGAGUAAACCUUAGACACUGUUGUAAGUACUUUCAACCACAAGACCCAUAUCUCGUGUCCUAGAUUACUGAAAGACCAAGAGCAGGUACUGUAUAAAACACGUCCUGUGAUCUAGUGUUAGUCACUACACCAACCCUUAUAUAACCAUGUCCUCUGAAAACACACCCAGAUUAAUGUGAUAAUUAAUAUAUUGCCUAACAACCCAAGAUAGUGGUGAGGUUGAGCUGCAUGAAUUCAAAUCAGGACUGCUUUGGUUUAUUAAAAUAGGUUAAUUUAGUAAAAUAAUACAAACUAAGGAUUAUGGAAAGAGAAGUGGAAAUGGAUGAAAAUAAAGAAUUAGAAGUUGCUAAGAUACAGAACAGUGUCAAUAAAUCUGAAUUCUAUUCAAGGCAAAAGUCAUAAGAGUACAGUAAGUUCUCAUUAUGAUAACUUUUUUACGCUAUCAAACACUGAACCCAAGUACAAGGUGAAUGCAACCUAUUCCUUUAAGAGGUGUGAAAAUGAGGGUGCUUGGUAUGUUCCUAUUGCUUACAUUCUGAAUAGCGGGGAAGUAGGCAUCACCUGAUCAGUGGAGAUUUAUUAAGGUUAGGGGUUCUGUGCCACUGCUCAGGAGCCGAUCCAGCGUUGCUGUGGAGUGCAAGUAGAUGGGCUGAGGGCUGGAGAGGGAGGAGCAGCUGGAGCAGCUUCCCUGGUCCAGCUGAGCUCUUUGCUACUUCUUCUCCGUUGUGUGCUGGCUGAAAUAAUCACGAUGCCUUAUAUUGUAUAUUAAUUUAAUAUGUUCAGGUGGGUAGCUGCAUCAGCAUGCGUAGGCUGCAAAGGACCAAGUAAUAGGUUUAUUCCAUGCUAAAAAGAGAAGACCUAUUACUUAUUGAUUUAAUAUUUUUAACUUACCCUUUUGCAAUGGAAUGGAGUAUGUGAUGUGGGAACAUAGCCAGUACUUCAUACAGUCUUUUAGUGUUAAGGAUUGAAGGAUGCUGUUUUAUUGGGUCAAAAUUCUCAUUUGUUAUACAAGCAAUGGGAGGAGUUUCCACGUCAUUUAAAGAGGUGUGACUCGGUUUUGCAUUGACUGGUCUUUAAUGGAAAACCAGAUAAGUGAUAUCUAUGGGUAUUUUCUCAGACAUCGCUUCGAGGUUUACUGCAGCUGGCUGUGUUUCUUUUCAGUAUAAUCAUGUGGUUUCUUCAUUUAAUAUCAGUAGAAUGAAAAAAAACAUGGUGUUUGCAGUGCAUAGGAUAUACUGUAUCUAUGAUUUUAAGUUACAUUUGCUCAGUUUCUUGAAACUUACAAAAGUCCUUCUUGCAUUCCUUGCCAAGUUGUGGCCCCAAAUUUGUGGCCUUUUGUCUGGUUUUAGGAAUCUCUUUUCUUGACUUGAGAAUCACCAGGCCUACUUUGUUCCUUGCAAUAUGGUUUUAUGGCUGUGUCUGUACAACUCUUGUCUUUCUCUGAUAGAGAGGUUCACAGUUCUUGUAGCCUUUGUGGAGCCACAAGGAUUAACAAAAGAAACAAGAACUGGGCACAAACGCACCCUAACAUCAAAUGGUAUGACUUACAGGCCUCAAUGGUAAGCGUUAUGUUUGGCGCAAGCAUGACAGUGAAGUUAAUCCUGAGAACACAACCCUUACUAUGGUGAAUGUGGGUGGCAGUAUCAUGCUAUGGGGAAGCUUUGCUACAUCAGUGUCACGGAACCUAUACGUGGAAUAGGAGGAUCCUUAUACGUGACCGGAAUCCCACAGGACGCAGAGUAGCAAAGGGACAAUCCAAAAGACAGAAUCCAAAGGCUGGGUCGAUAAGGGAGGCAGAGGGUCCGGUAACGAGAGAUAUCCAAAAACAAUUCAAAAGACAAAAUCCAGAAGGUGAGGUCAAGAGGCGGAAGCAGAAGAUUCGUAACGGGAGAUCAGUCGAAAGGUUUGGAAACGCGCACUGGAGAAUACUAUGAAAGGCUUCUCAAUCGUGAGCGUGGGAAGGUGUGCGAAGGAGGUUUAAAUACUGAAAGGAAAGGGGUGUGAUUGGAUGAUUGGUUAGGGAGUGAGAAUUUGAGGAAUCUGAUGCAUGUGAGAAUGUGCUGGGUUCAAUCAGGG
rnacentral:lncRNA from 1 species